rnacentral:lncRNA from 1 species
UGACUUUCGGAUUCUCUUGAGGCUGGUUGCUGGCCACAGGCACCAGGAAAGCAGGGUGAGGGCCCAAUGAUACCACCUUUUCUUGGGCCCCGUAAUUCCAUUUGGCGGUGGGAGCAUUUUCUCCCAGCCUUGCCUGAAGACUUGCAUGUCUUCUGCGAUAAAUGCCAUAUCGUAUAAGGUGCUCCUGAAUAAUUGGGUGCAGCUGAGAUUUUCCUACAGCGAACCAUCGAGCCAAGGCCACUGGGGAAACCAGCUAACUAGACACAGACCAGAUGUGAAUCCUCUGUGAUUGGAAGUACCAUCUUCUCUCCUCUGCAGAAAUCGGUGUCUUUAAUUUUAGAAGGUUUGCUUAGAAGGAAGUCCACCAACAAGUUCUUGCCUUUUUAAAAUUCCUGGCUUAGGUGAAUAUUUUUAAAGGCUCUUGUUUGAAUAAAAAGAGGGGAGUGAACACCAUGUUUCAGCUCUGGAAUGGAAGACGGUGUGAGUACGGAGCUGGCUAGAGUGCGGAGCUGGCUGCUGGGCUUCUAUAACGGGCGCCGUGGGCACUCGGGUGCCGUUUCGGAAUUCUUUCUUGGGAUAAUGCCAUUUUAAGGAGCCUUUCCAAAUGGAGACAAGGCUUUCUGAGGGAGAAGGAUGUUUUCUGUGGGUUGGGCUUGGGGGGAGGGAGGAGGGAAGCUACAUGUUACUUCGUCUGUAGUAGUGUGGAACGGUGUUGUUCCAGAGUGCCAGUGUAGAGGUAUUUGCAAACUUGUCUAGAAAUGAGAGCAUGUUUGUUUUUUGUUUUUUUGUUCGUUUGUUUGUUUUGGGGUUUGUUUGUGUGUUUUUUUUAGCCCCUUGUGAGUCUAAAUCUAAAUGAACAUUCUUGCUCAUCCAUAAAUAACUUCAAGCCUCAACAUCAGAAUAGUGUUGGAAUGCUCUCUCUCAUCCUGGCAUCUCCGACAGGACCAGGUUCAUUACAUUUCCUUCCAUAACCAUGAACCUGUGUUGGCAUCACUCAUCUUGCCUUUAUCCAGCCCUGUCUUUGGGUGAGGCCAGAGUUCCCACUUCCUGUUUUCAGAAAAGCCAGAGGCGUCCUCCAUCCCUGGGAGCUGCUUGGCUGAGUAGGUAGGGGUGAGGUGAGAGGGGUUGGGGUUCCUGGACAGUGGACCUAUUUAGAGAUGGCACAGUUGGCCGUUCCCACUUUUUCCUCGAUUUCUGGAAGUUGCUCUGUGUUCUGUGAUGAGUGAGGUCCUUUGAGUCCUGCAGCUGAGAGAGCUGUGGGUUCCAACCCCCGAUCGACAUGGGGCGGGCGGGUGAGGCUGUUGCAGGCAGAGGGAAGUAACCCGGAACAGACUCACUUUCUAUAGGACAAGUGUACAUUUGCCAAAACCUGUGUAUCGUGCUUUCCCAGACUGGAUUCCAACCGCAUGGACAGUCGGAGCUCAGGACCAGCCCCAGACAUGUCUUUCUCCCUCUUUCCAAUUCAAAUCUGUCCCCAUAUCAGACUGCUGGUUAUAAAGCCAUUUCUUUGUAGUUGAUAACAGCGUGAGUCCCAGAACUCUCAGAUAAGAGGAAAUUGGCUUGAUCGGAAUGGGGGAUUUUUUUUUUUUUGGUCAUAAUUCUGCCAUCAGAAGCCUCUUUGAUGACUCGAAAUAACUCUACAACGAAGACCCCACCACAGGGUCUGCUCAAAUGGCCAGGUGGAUUUCAAUCGGCAUCUCUCCCAUGAAGUGAUUUCUGGUAAUGCAAGAUUUCUGUAACGGCCAAAAAGUAUUGCCACUUUGACGGAUCCUAUCAACUGUGCUUUCGGCUACCUUGGAUCUUUUCUAGAGACCAAGGGAUGCAGUCUGCUCCCUUCUGGAAUCUUGUGUGACCCAAGGAUGUUUGUGGAGCACCAAGGGUAAUGACUUGACUUCCCCAUGGAGAAGUCCUAGGCUGAGGCCGCUGUGAGCAGGUGGCUGGGAGCUCAUGGCUUUAGUCAUCCCUCCCGAAGCCAGUUGCUCAGGUGCUCCUCCUGGCUGGAUUCCAGAGUUUUCAACAAGGUUGCAAAGCCAGGAGAGAAAAUUUGAAAAAUCUGUGGGCAGAGGGAGGUAGGAUGAUGGUUGAUUCGGAUGGGAGUUGGCCACCAAGCCCAUAGUAUCAAAAUGGUGGUUCACCUUGGCUGGCUGUCGGCAUGGGCUGGGGAGUUCUGAAAACCUUAUUACCAGGCUAUCCCGGGGCAAUGAAACCAGGAUUUCUGGAGCUGGGACCCAGGUGUCCGUGUGCUUCAAAACUCCCUAAAGGCUUCCUUUCCAUGUGUGGCCAAGGUAGGGAAGACCUCCUUGCUUUCUGGAGGGCUAGGUGCUGUUGGAGGCGGAUCUUAAUAACCCAGAGCUAGCUGGUCUUACAGAAACCACAGCCAAGGGUUUGUCACUGGCUCAGCAGGUCUCACCGCCAGUCCCAGCCCAGCUGAGGGACAAGAUGGUUUCUCUGAGGAGCUCAAGGAGCAUGCGAUCUCUCAAACAGGGCACCUACCAUGCUCCUCCAAAGGCAGCUGAUCUAUGGAGAAUUGUGAGGGAACUGAAUACAGUGUCUGGAGGUUGGGAUUUUUCCUUCAGUGUUCCUUGUCUAGCAAGAAAGAUGGGGGAGUUUCACCUCUUGAAGAUACCCCUGCCCCCCCAGGAGCACCCUGCCCAUCCUUAGAGCUAAUGAGUCAUAUGAGGAAGAGGCUUCUUCAAGACAGAGCAAUGCAAUACUUGUAACUUUUGUAAAUAGCCCCAUCUUUCAGAGUGCUGUCCUUUCUACAUUUGAUAUGCUUGUAUUUCUGUAGGAUGUAUAUAGUUUAGGGGAUUUUGUUUGUUUGUUUCAUUUUGUUUUUUAGAACAGUCGACAUGUCUUUUUAUUUAUUGCUUGAAAAAAGAUCAUUUGAAGAAAAAUAAAUACGUUUUCA